rnacentral:lncRNA from 1 species
AUUUACUCAUGAACUGUUCUAUCAAAGCUUUUAAAAUUUUAAUAUCUUGUUGCUGACAACAAAAUGGAGGUCAAAUCCAAAUUAUUUUGGAAAUCUUCUCACAUUGUAAUUGUUAAACUUCUUAUUAAUGUAAUAAAUGGAAUUUAGAAGUGAUAACUAACAAAACGGAAGUAGUUGUAUUAAAAAAUGGCUGGCAUUAAAAAAAAUUACAAACACA